ensembl:misc_RNA Metazoa_SRP Metazoan signal recognition particle RNA
GCCGGGCGUGGUGGCUCACGCCUGUAAUCCCAGCACUUUGGGAGGCUGAGGUGGGCGGAUCACCUGAGGUCAGGAGUUCGAGACCAGCCUGACCAACAUGGUGAAACCCCAUCUCUA